rnacentral:rRNA from 1 species
CCCUUAGAUGUUCUGGGCUGCACGCGCGCUACACUGAUGCGUUCAACGGGUUUUUAGCUUAUCUGAUAAGAUUGGCUAAUCUUCUGAAAACGCAUCGUGAUGGGGAUAGAUUAUUGUAAUUAUUAAUCUUCAACGAGGAAUUCCUAGUAGGUGUGAAUCAUCAGUUCACGCCGAUUACGUCCCUGCCCUUUGUACACACCGCCCGUCGCUCCUACCGAUUGAGUGAUCCGGUGGAUAAUUCGGACCGGUGAGCUUCCAGGUUUACCUGGCUGCUUGCUGGAAAGUCUAGUGAACCUUAUCACUUAGAGGAAGGAGAAGUCGUAACA